CCUUGCCCACUAGGCUUCACCAUGCCAUCAGGCUCUACACCGACGUACAGGCAAAAAGCUGUAGGUCUUCUCUCCAAAAAGCCGAUUGGCAAGCCGCAAGAGGUAGGGAGCAUUGCUUCUGUUCACAUCCAUCGUCAGAGUCCGAAAUCUUGAAUGGACAUCUUCAACUUUGUCAAAAUGAAGUGUCUGAAAGAAAAGAAGCAAAUUAGCUGCUGCUAAUACUGUCUUAACAUGUGGUGCUCCUUUGGGUGUGUCUGAUCCAGCAGGCAGGCAGGCUGAAGAAGAGGAGGCUGGAAGAUGCUCAGAGGCUUCUGUAAGCCUCCAAGAAUGAAUGGCACUGUUUCUUGGUGCUGUACUGCCUACAUUCAUCUCUUGUGUUAACUCCUGGGUUAUAUGUACUCAUAGCUGAAGCUGUUGGUCAUAACCCUCUCUUUUCAGAGAAUAAAAUCAAAACUAGCUUAGGUGAGCUCUUAAUAAAUCUGAGACCAAUUUAUCUUUUACAGUUGUAUGAAAACAAAGCUGCUUGGCUAUAUGCAAACCCAGCAUCAUCUUAAAAAACAAAUGUUUUAGUGCAAUUUCUCUUUCCCAAAAGGCAAAUGAGCUGGUCAAGGCUCACAGAUGGAACAGCCAGACCUCACAGACACGAAGGCCAGACCAAAGCAAGGACAUCCCCAUGCAAACUGAAGUCAUGUGUUUCUCAGUAGGGAAGUGCUGUGAAACACCCCCUGGAUUAAAAGGAAAAUCCUUGGUUUAUCUCACUACUUUUUUUGCUCAGGACUUGCUGCCUGCCCAUAUUAAGGCACAUGUGAACAAAAACAUCACAGAGCACAAACCUCAGAGAAGCAACUUAAAACAGGCUUACAGAAACAGAUUUCUAUGUAUGCUUGCAUGGAGCCCUUAACAGUCAACAAUCACUGCCUCCUUAAUUACUUACCUUGUCCUAAGCAAAGCAUUUUGGUAUGGGAACAUGGAUUAUUGAAGGUGACUGUGUUGAAACACUCCCUCUCCUUCCCCCUCCCCGAGUUCCUUUUGCAAGAUUUGUGCUGUCAGUAGGUUUAUCCUGGGUGGGGCUGUCAGUACAAUUACAUGAGAUUUCUGUUCGAGGUUUGUUUGUACAAGUAGUGAGAAAAUAAUUUUAUUGUCUUAUUCAGAAAGGACAGGAUCAGUCAACCACUCCUCAUAUAGUCCAGGAUACAAAGGUGAAAUUAUUCAUAGACAAAUAUGUGAUGGUGACUGCAAUGGGAAGUCUUACAACACCUUUCUGCAUGAACCUAACAAAAGGAAACAAUAAGUGACCAAGGGCCCUCCACAGAGGAAGCUUCAGGACACACUCCUGUCUUCACCACUUGUGCAACGUCUAAUGAGGGUUUUCAAACUAUGCUACUUAACUACCUAAGGCUAUGGUGAAAAUAAGCACCUGGACUCAGCUCCUUCAAGAUAGCUGCAACUAAGAUGCAAAUACUUAGGUACCAUCAUCAUGGAUUAUCACAGUGGUUGUGCUUUAAAACUGUAGAUGACUACUGUGUUCCUUUAAAAGAUACAUCAUAUUAGCAACAAGUAUGACACUGGUGACCUGGUAUUACAAAACAAUGGUUCCUUUAUCAGAACGUCUCACAGAAACUAGUAAAGCUUUGGCUGCUGGAAACUCCCAUCAUUUUAGAUGGGAGACUGACAAAUCAAUUAACUUAGUUUCCUACUGAAAGGAUUAGCAAGUGAAAAUAAUUGAGAAACAGUGCCCAGCACAAAUAUGGGCAGAGGCCUCUGGAGCAGAGCAGGCAGAAGGCAACUGCAGAAAGAAGCCUGAGGAAGCCUCACUGUGCAUGAUGGAAAUCUCCUUUUGAGCACAUAAAAUUAACAUCCUCCUUCCAUUUUCCCUUCUCUAAAACAUAACAACUUUUAAUGUGCAAAAGUGAGUUUUCAUUUCUUUUGACUAACCUUCAGCAUCUGUGACUCGGUGUUACCUUUGGCCCCUAAAAGGACCAUGGCCAGAGCAGCAGAAACGCUGAGAGGAGAGUAGAAGAGGUUUCCUGUUGGGUUGGUCUCAUUAAACCUUCUGAACAGGUCAAGUGCAAAUCUGCUGUUGGCAUUACUCAGGUUCUCCAUGAUUACAGCUGAAAAAUACAUUGGUCAGUUCAGGACUUCAGGAAGACAUAAGCCUGUGUGACCGAGAGUGAAUAGGAUCAAUCUGAGUGCAGCUGGGUAGAGAGACAGCAAGAAUUCCAUUGCCAGUGCAACGUCUUCACAUGAAACAGUCAGUCACAGUGAAAAAGAAGUAUUCUUUCCAACGUAAAUUGCAUCUCUCGACCUCCCCCAUCACACUAACUUUAAAGGCAUUGUUUUUUAAAGAAGCUUUCCUUCUGACUUGAAAUUGGAGGUAGGUGUGCUGGCAGAGCUCACAGACCAGCACACCCCAGGGUGCCCAGCACAGCUUUCCCCUCCACUUUUCUGCCGGACUUCUCCAUAGAGGACCCUGACAGUAACUGUUCAGGGAGAUGCAGACACCUUUCAGCAAGCUGCCUGUCCUCACAGCACAGGUGUCAAACUCCUGACAAAGGCUGAGGCUCACUGCUACCUUCGGCACCACUGUCUCAGCAGCCAGCAAGGUUCUGGCAUGCUGCAGCCUGGCACAGAAUCCCAGCCAGGCUGAGCAGCCCUAAAUGCAGGGCCAGAGCCCGGGAUUUUGUUAGCCAGAAAGGCUAAAUUGAGGAGCACAGCACACAGAGCCUCAGGGCUGAUGCUGCACCCAGAACACAAAUUCCUUUGGGACAGAUGCUCCUGAGAGGUCCCAGAAGUGGGAUGGAAGGGGCAAGGUCUGGGUCAGGUACACAAUGUCACCCAAGGCCUGUCAGAAGCACUGCUUGAUGCUAAAAAUGUUUUCCUGCUCGCCCAGUUCUGAUUCCUGCUUCUCUUUGCUUGCCUGCAGCCGGCCUCCUGGUUCUUGCCUCAGGCAGCUGGAUGUGCCCAUCUGCCGUCAGCAAGCAGGCCAGCGGCCCAGCGAGUUACAGCUGCUGUCCCAAGCCAGCCGCCUGGAGGAGCCCGCACCAAAGCUGCUUAUUUCCAAAGGGGUCUUCCUACAGCAAGGCCAAAGGAACGCAUUCUGCUGCCGCUGCCGGACAGUCGCGCUUUCGUUGUCUUCACCCGAGACAGCAUGAGGCAGUCUGGCGCCCUUUGGACCAUGGCCACCGAACCGUGAUUCAGAGCUGAGCACAAGAGGUAGCAUUGCCAUGCUGCCCAGAAACAAACACCUGGCUCAGGACCCCCUGCUGCAAGUCCUUUCCAAGGCCAACGCCAAACUCCACGGGAACCCAGAGUAUUGUUAACACUUCAGCACAUCAUACCUCGCUGAUGUGGAAUGGCAUUUCUACUGUUUUCUCUUUGCUGAACUCCUU